GAUACUACCAAAGUAUCUUAAUUUUAAGUUAGUUAAAUAAAUUGUACUUACUCAAAAUUAAGAUACUUCGGUUAAAAAAUUACUUUCUAAAUUUAAGGUUUUUGGUAUUUUUUUAAGCUUUCUAAGAUAGAGAGCUCAUUCAAUAUUAUAUGGGUUUCUUUGCUCAUAGAUAUCAGAUGUGCCUAGGCAAAGCCAAAUGAUUCCUACCAACUCAAUAUCUAUCAAAACCCAUUUGAAGAGUAGGUCACAGCAGCUAAAUGGUGAGAUAGGUAAUGAAAUGAUAGCGUAUUAUUAUUCGUACCUCAGUAUUUGUAAAGCUGGUAUUUGUAAUAUACCAGUGGUUUAUUACAAAUACCUCAAGAUGUCAUUUGGGGAUAGGCACUGGAAAUAUAAAUUACCACCUUUUAUUGGAUAACAUCGACAUCAAAAUAUGAGUCCAGUUAUUUAACUUGAGACAUGAGGUGUAUGUCUCAUUGUAUAAUAUGAUCACUGUCCUAGAGUGAUGAAGAGGAGCUUCGCGCCCGUACCGCCCACUCCGCCUUCUUCGCUGAAGAUCAUAAGAGGGAUCCCACUCCUCAGCCUCACGGAAUGCCAUGACCAGGUCGCAAAACCUGGUCAUGGCCUUCCGCGAAUUAUGGUCCUGUAGGAUGCGAGUGAAGACAGCCCGCAAGGAGAAGUCCCUCCCUAGCACCGCGAUGAGGUCCCACUGCGAGUGCUCCCAACGCGGGCACACUUCGAGUGCGUGCUGAGCGUCAUCAUCUGGAUGCCAGUACUGGUGGCAAUCCGGAUGUGGCUCUCUCCUGCAGACCUUCCACAGGUACCUCCCGAAGCAGCCAUGCGCCGAGAGGACCUGCGUGAGGUAGAUAGAAGAAGAGCACGCCGUGUCGUCUGAGCACGCCCCCAGCACGGGCACCAGGGCCUCGAGGGUGCGCCAAGCUCCUCCAGCAACCGCUCCCUCCACUUGGCAUUCGCCAGAUGACGCACAGCACGCCUCCAUCGACCCGUCGGGCCGGGCGGCCGUCCCCAACUCAUGGACUGCGUCCUGCCGGCCUCGAGAUCCCAAGGAAGGGAACCGGCAAGGGCGCAGGCGAGCUCCCGGGAGAUCAUACGGUACCCCCGGUACCCCCUCAUGAUAACUUAAACCUCAACAAUGUAAUAAUUUUGUGUCCCUUUCCCUUCGGAGUCCAAAGCCUCUUUUACUUAAAAUACGAAGCCUCUAUAACUGAAACGAAUAAUUUAGGCAUCACACCUCAGUAUCAUAAAAUUGUAGGUACGAUGACCUUUGUAAAUUCAAUCUUAUCUUAAUAUUACAUUAGUCAUUUUAAACGAAUGAACAAACUGAAAAGGUUCCCUGUAUGCUAGGGUACCUGUAAGGAACGUUAAGAGAAGAAGAAAUAAUUGUCUGUUAUUAAUGGUGCUCAGAGCGAUGAUAUAGAUGAAGAUUUUUUAUUUUUUUAUUUAUUGCGUGGAUGGCUGGACGUCUUCACAGCCCGCCUGGUGUUAUGUGGUUACUGGAGCCCAUAGACAUCUAUAACUAAAUACUGUCACCCACCUCAAGAUGAGUUCUAAGGUCACAGUAUAGUUACAACAGCUGCCCCCACCCUUCAAAAUGACAAGCCACAAGAUAUAUCUACAAUUUUAUCUAUCAGCGAAGCAAGCAAGCUGUAAAUACUUUACGAUAUUUUUUUAAAGAUCAAUUCUGUAACACAGAUUGUGACAUUUUCUCUUCUUGAUUUAACAUUGAAAAUAAAAUUAAUGUAAAAACUACGAAUUGUUUGAAAAACAAGUCGACUUUUUUAUAAAGAAUAAAUAAACUUCAAUAAAUAUACCUUUAACCCUAAAAUAAAGUAUGUAAAUACAUAUUCAUUAACAUUUCAAAAUUGUGCAUUUAGCCUAUCUCUAUAAUUCUAAACAAAGCUCAAAAACGAGCCUCUGUAAGUAAAAAUAUAAGCCAAUAAAAUCUCCUUCACUUAAACUCUUAAUAAAUAAAAACUUUAAUAACUUAAAAUAUUUAAUGUUUCCCUUGGUCUUUAACUUAUCGAGGUUCUAAUGUAUUAGGUAAUUUUAAAUGUUAUUUUAUUUAUUUAUACUUUAUGCACAAAACAAAUGUUGUACACAGGCGGACUUAAUGCCAUAGGCAUUCUCUUCCAGUCGACCACAGGGUGGUGCAGAGAUAAUGCAUGGCAGGUGCAUUAACAAAAGAAUAACAAACAACAACAAAAAACAAAAAAAAGAACAAAAUCAAAACAAAAAUCUUCCUUAAAGUAACAUCUCAGUAUUAUAGAAUACACAUAAUGUUAAAUAUAGGUACUUAUAUAGAUUACAUAUGACUUUGUAUACAUAAAUAAACAUACUACAAUUUAAUAUACCUAUGUAUAAAAUAAUAAAUACAUACAUACACAUAAUUACACACAAUAUAAUAUACAUGUAAAGCAAUAAUGGAGUCAAGAGAGAAGAGAUAGAUUUCAGGUAGUAGACAGUCUAGGAUAGUUAUACCCAUGCGGCGAGAUAUGUUGUCAUAUCCCACCGCAUUAGAUUUAAUGGAAAGUAUCACUUUUCUUAUCUCAGAGGGGGCAACUGGGAAGAGCUGAAAGGGGACAACAUCUGGACGCUAUAGACCACACAAAUAAGCUAACGUUUGAUUUUUAGUUAAGUGAUCUAUCACAGAGGAUGUGGAGAAGUGUCGGUUGAAAUCAUCUAAUUGAAUAAUAUUUGGAAUGUCCAAACGUCGCGAUCUGCCGAUACAUCGGCAGGAGAAGAAGAAGCGAUAUUAUCCAAAAUGUGGUGGCGCUUGGCAUUGCGUAUCAUUUGAUUACACCUAUUCCUAGCAGACUUAAAAAGGACCCCAUUAUUUUCUAUGCGAUUCUUUUUGUAUUUUCGAAAAGCGCGAUCUCUGCGACGCAUGGCCAUCUUAACUCCUUCAGUCAUCCAUGGAGCAGACGUUCGUUUCAGUUAUACUCUUCUAAUUGGGGCAUGAAUAUCAUAUAAUUUGAUUAAGAUAUUAUUGAAAAUUUCAACUUUGUGAUCAACUGAUGCAGCAUCUACUAGGGGAUCCCAGUUUAUCUCGGCUGCAUCAUUUCUGAGUUUUUCAAGAUCCAUGCGAGAAAAGCACCGCCUGUGCAGGGUCUUGGGAAUAGGUUUUGGGGAUUUAAGGAUAUAGGUAAGAAAAAUUAGAUCAUGAUGAGAGAACCCUGGAUCAGUAUGUUGACCAUGAGAGGAAACUAAGGAAGGAUUCGAGGUAAGGAUUAAAUCGAGCCAGGUGUCUUCACCGACGGUGUUCAGGUGCGUAGCUUCAAAGCUUGUAGUUGCAUUAGAUGAAGAGUAGCUGAUUCAAUGAUUUGAAGAAGCUUCUGGGAUCUAGAGGAAUUACCAGAAAGGAUAUUUGUGUUGAAGUCACCCAUGAUGAUAAGAUGUGCGUACUCAGAGCCAAAAGAUUCUAAUACUGUUUCGAACUCAGUAAAGUAAUCAAUAUUAGGGGGACAAUAGGUGACACCAAUUACAGUUUUUACUCUUCUAACACAAACCUCAAGAAAAAGAAACUCCACAUUAGAGUUGGUAGAAGAUGAAGACAAUAUUUCAUAUGGAAACGUGCUGCGGAGGUAAAUGGCCACACCACCUUCUCUACUGACCGUUAUAUCAUUAUGGAUAAGAAUAAAAUCUGGGAGAGAGAAAGAGGUCGACAGAAGAGUAGGCUUGAGCAAAGUUUCGGAUAUCAGGAUGACGACGACGUUGGUAUUGUAAAAUGUAUGAUACAGUUUGCCAUAAUAACUGGCUACACUCUGUGCAUUGAUGUGACAUACAUUGAACUGGCAGCCAGAUUUGUGGUCAAAAGUAUGUCAUAAAAAGUCAACAAGGGUGUCGGUGGCUGAACCAAAACUUUCCUCUCCAGAAGAGGUACUGGAUUCAUUUGCAGAAAAAAAGAAUCAUUAUCAGUAUCUGAUACACCUGAUAAAAAGACAUAAAAAACAAAAUUAGAAAAAAAUAUAUGUCUAUUUGUAAAAAACAAUAAUAACUAAAUAUAUUUAAAAAAAAUAACAAUUUGUUCAGAUACAAUAUAAAAGCAUUAAAAACCAAAGAGAGAAAAAAUAACUAAUAACAAACAAAAGGAACGAACUGUAUAUCUCAACACCACCUGCCAGCUAACACCAAUAUAAAAUAUAGAAGAUGUAAAUUAAAUUCAGUGAACAUCAAGAAACAUUUAGAAAGUAUUAAAAUAAUCAAAAUCCAAAACACAAAACAACAGAACAACUACACUAUGUCUGGUACGUCUAAGUAGUAGUCUGUAACUGAUUUUAUACCAAAAUACAAAUGUUUUAAACUGUGUCAUUAACCACCAACUUCAUUGGACUGAAUGAAAAACAAAACAAAUAACAAUAAAAUUAUUGGAAUAGAACUUAUUAUAUACAAACUUAAAACUACUUACCUAACAGUAACAUACAGGUAAUACAGAACAAAAAAAAGAAAGAUGAAAUAAAUGAUAAUAAAAAUACAUACACACUUUUACUACAUAUGAUUUCCUGUCUCAACACUUGAGGAGCCACUGAAGCUUCUGGAAACUUCAACAGCAAAGGGCUCAGCUCUUCCAUAGCUGUUACCUUAUGACGUGUUCCGUUAGUUGUUUUGAUAACUAUGAUUCCAUCCUGAGUCCAGCAGGAUCGCAUUCCGAAGUGAGCUCUUGCCUUGAUAAAAUGUGGACUGCCAGGGCUUCGUCAAAAACUCCUUCAAUGAAAUUGAACAACCCUUAAGGUCCCGCAGAUUGAAUCUGUGUUUCAAGUUCACCCAUCUUCCGUGUGAAGUUUUCUUCUAGGUUCUUUUGAAUAGUUAAUAUUUCAGCAAGUUGAGACAUGAUGGGCUUGAGUGAGAGGAACAAGAUGUCACUUAAAUGGUUGAAGGUGUGCUGGCUGGUGGUUUGCAGCUUUAUUUAUGACACAUAAGCUGCUGCAAAUGUUAUUACCAAAUCAAAUAUACUUGUGUACAAACUGGAUGUUAAAAAAUAUUGAUAAAAGAUUAUGUUUCUAAUUUUCAAUAAAAUUUUAUGUUUAAAA